AGCGAACGCUGGCGGCAGGCUUAACACAUGCAAGUCGAACGGAUUCUUCGGGAUUAGUGGCGGACGGGUGAGUAACACGUGGGAACGUGCCUUUUGGUUCGGAACAACACAGGGAAACUUGUGCUAAUACCGGAUGUGCCCUUCGGGGAAGGAUUAUCGCCAUUAGAGCGGCCCGCGUCUGAUUAGCUAGUUGGUGAGGUAAAGGCUCACCAAGGCUACGAUCAGUAGCUGGUCNGAGAGGAUGAUCAGCCACACUGGGACUGAGACACGGCCCAGACUCCUACGGGAGGCAGCAGUGGGGAAUCUUGCGCAAUGGGGGAAACCCUGACGCAGCCAUGCCGCGUGAAUUAUGAAGGUCUUA
rnacentral:rRNA from 1 species